rnacentral:rRNA from 1 species
UACGGAGGGUGCAAGCGUUGUCCGGAUUUAUUGGGUUUAAAGGGUGCGUAGGCGGCCCCUUAAGUCAGCGGUGAAAGCCCGGGGCUCAACCCCGGAACCGCCGUUGAUACUGGGGGGCUUGAGUACAGACGAGGUUGGCGGAAUUGAGGGUGUAGCGGUGAAAUGCUUAGAUACCCUCAAGAACACCGAUUGCGUAGGCAGCUAACUAGGCUGUAACUGACGCUGAGGCACGAAAGCGUGGGGAGCGAACAGG